rnacentral:rRNA from 1 species
ACGGGAGGCAGCAGUGGGGAAUCUUGCACAAUGGGCGAAAGCCUGAUGCAGCAACGCCGCGUGAGGGAAGACGGUUUUCGGAUUGUAAACCUUUGUCCUUGGUGAAGAUAAUGACGGUAGCCGAGGAGGAAGCCACGGCUCACUACGUGCCAGCAGCCGCGGUAAUACGUAGGUGGCAAGCGUUGUCCGGAAUUACUGGGUGUAAAGGGAGCGCAGGCGGGAAAGCAAGUCAGUGGUGAAAUGCAUGGGCUUAACCCAUGAACUGCCAUUGAAACUUUUUUUCUUGAGGGGAUCAGAGGCAAGCGGAAUUCCGAGUGUAGCGGUGAAAUGCGUAGAUAUUCGGAGGAACACCAGUGGCGAAGGCGGCUUGCUGGGGUCUAACUGACGCUGAGGCUCGAAAGUGUGGGGAGCAAACAGGAUUAGAUACCCUGGUA